rnacentral:piRNA from 1 species
UGACAGUCUUCAGGGGCCAUAGCUGGAUU